rnacentral:rRNA from 1 species
AACGAACGCUGGCGGCAUGCCUAACACAUGCAAGUCGAACGAGACCUUCGGGUCUAGUGGCGCACGGGUGCGUAACGCGUUGGAAACUGCCCUUAGGUUCGGCAUAACUCCCCGAAAGGGGUGCUAAUACCGGUUAUUGUCUUCGGACCAAAGUUUUAUCGACUUUGGAUGGGCCCGCGUGGGAUUAGCGAGUUGGUAGGGUAAAAGCCUGCAAAGGCGACGUUCCAUAGCUGGUCGGAGAGGAUGGUCAGCCACACUGGGACUAGGACACGGCCCAGACUCUUACGAGAGGCAGGAGUGGGGAAUAUAGGACAGUGGGCGAAGGCACGAACCAGCAAUGCCGCGUGAGUGAUGAAGGCCUUAGGGUUGUAAAGCGCUUUAACCCGGGAUGAUAAUGACAGUACCGGGAGAAUAAGCUCCGGCUAACUCCGUG